UAGUAUAUACUGGCGUAUAGACGAACAAAGCGAGCGAGGGAAAAGAAAAUCCCUUACGGAAAUUUGGCAAGUUGGAAAAGGAUAGCGAAUCCAAUGAAAAUGUGACUGGUUUUGAAUGACAGAGCGUCACAAUUGGGCACGCGGAAAAUCAACACCUUAGUAUUUUGGAUUUUUUGCGUACAUCGUGGUUUAUUUUCAGUAAAUCUAAUUGUAUUCAACAAUGGUAACAUCUUCUGCGAGUGAUUGUGGCGUUAAUAAUAGAAAUAAUCCUGAAAAUUGCACAUUUCACAGAUUCCCUCUAUAGAUACUAUAAUAAGACGAAAGUGGUUGAAAUUAGUUGGACGCGUUGGUUGGAAUCCAAAGAAGAACUCUACCAUUUGCAGCAAUUCGACUUAAGAAUGAAUGUAAACUUAAUAAUUUAGGAAACGAAACUGUAAUGAACCAGUUAAAUAAAUAAAUAUGUGGUAACAUCUCAAACACGGCCAUCCGAGGCAGAGCCAGUAAUAUGGGUCAGACAGAUGAUAUAUCUAAGAUUGUUCUGUUUAAAAGUCAAUAAAAUAAGGAGCGAUGAAAAAA